UAACACGCGGAUAACCUGCCUCACACUGGGGGACAACAGUUAGAAAUGACUGCUAAUACCGCAUAAGCGCACAGUACCGCAUGGUACAGUGUGAAAAACUCCGGUGGUGUGAGAUGGAUCCGCGUCUGAUUAGCCAGUUGGCGGGGUAACGGCCCACCAAAGCGACGAUCAGUAGCCGACCUGAGAGGGUGACCGGCCACAUUGGGACUGAGACACGGCCCAAACUCCUACGGGAGGCAGCAGUGGGGAAUAUUGCACAAUGGGCGAAAGCCUGAUGCAGCGACGCCGCGUGAGUGAAGAAGUAUUUCGGUAUGUAAAGCUCUAUCAGCAGGGAAGAUAAUGACGGUACCUGACUAAGAAGCCCCGGCUAACUACGUGCCAGCAGCCGCGGUAAUACGUAGGGGGCAAGCGUUAUCCGGAUUUACUGGGUGUAAAGGGAGCGUAGACGGCAUGGCAAGUCUGAAGUGAAAACCCAGGGCUCAACCCUGGGACUGCUUUGGAAACUGUCAAGCUAGAGUGCAGGAGAGGUAAGUGGAAUUCCUAGUGUAGCGGUGAAAUGCGUAGAUAUUAGGAGGAACACCAGUGGCGAAGGCGGCUUACUGGACUGUAACUGACGUUGAGGCUCGAAAGCGUGGGGAGCAAACAGGAUUAGAUACCCUGGUAGUCCACGCCGUAAACGAUGAGUGCUAGGUGU
rnacentral:rRNA from 1 species